CUUAUCCAUUGAACUUGUGUACAAAAGUUCUAAUAAAAACAACACAGAGAGACUGCUAACAACCAACAAACUAGAAAAUGAGAAGAUUCACUCAAGUCUCACUGAAGCAAAACAGCACUCCAGAGAGAAUGACAAUUACAGAGGCAACUUAACACUGCUACACUGGCUACAACGUGCUUCCGGCUGGUUUGGCUCCCAAACAGCUUUUCUUCUGCUACGAGGUUUCUCCCUAGGAGGGUGUCCUGCGAGGGACAAAUUAGCUUGGAUCACCCCCCACGUACAACACUGCUCCUGCUCACUCAGUCCUCCAUGCCAGCUUCCCCUGUCUGACAAGGAAAGGAGUCCGAGCUGCCACCUUCAGGUCUGUGGGUCUCAGCUGCCACCCUGCCCACCACAGGGCUCAGGCUACUGGCCCCGCACCAGGGCCUGGGCUGCCAGAUCCACUCUCCCUGGGGCUCUUGCUGCUGGAUCCCAUUGAUCGGCCCGGUCAACUGAGCUCCACUGAGUUUGUGCUGCAGGUCCCGCUGACCUCUGGGGCUCGGGCUGCUGGCCCCAGCUGUCCAGCCCCACUCUCCUUUGGGCUUGGGGCUGCCAGCCCUUCCGGAGCGCUGGGGUUCGGGCUGCCGGCUCUCCUGCAGACGGAGGCAGGGCUCGGGCUGCCAGCCCCAACUGCAUGGCCCUGCUCUCCCUGAGGCUCUGGUUGUCUGCCCUGCAACCGUGUCCCACCUGCUGCCUCCAAUGUCGGGGUCCUCUGGCCACCAUUAAUGAUUUUUUUUCUUGUGAACCCCCUGUAACCUUCUGCGAACCCCAGUUUGGGAACCACUGGUAUAUAGUAAUUUAGCCUUAGUGAUGUGUGCUCUUGGAUUUAUUUGUUCGUGUUAAUAAAACAUGUAACUGGGCUAUUGAGUUAUUUCUUUCAAUAAGCAACAGGGGCUGGAACUUUUAUUUGUAUAUUUCCCUUUAAUUCAAUCUCCAUUUUCUUCAUUUCAUACUCUGCUUAGUUAAGGAACAUGGAGCACCAGAAACUGACACAAGCCUUUUGCUGCCCCAUUCUGUGUCCAUCCGGCAGGAGUAGAGAACAAACCUCUCCUGGGGCAGGGAUUGUCACACUGGACUGUAAAUACAGAUGCAUGUUCCCAAGCUUUGCUGUCUGUCUUAAAUUCUGGCAUAAGGGUGACACCUACAGCUGCUUGUAAUCACGCCUGGCAGGAAGGAGACCCCUAUGCCUAUUCCCUGGGGAGACAGGGGGAUCUGGGAGACCCUAGACUCUGGGGGAUAUUUACCCAGUGCUCAGGUGCAAUCUAUUCAGGGGUGAUGCUGGAGAAAAGAGCUGGGCACUGCUUUCCCCACAUUUCUCCUUAUCCCCUUUCGGUCUCUCUCUCCUCUUUCCCUUUCUUCCCCCUCUGCCCACCCUCUGGCAGGGAGGCUUGGUCACUUCCCUGCUCCCAGGGGCGCUCACUCUCGUGUGCUAAUAGGAGCGAGACCCUGGGUGUGGGACAGUCCCUUCAGCAGCUCUGGGACACACAGAGGAAGGAGGAGGAGCAGAGAUGGGGGUGCUGUAGGAGACUUGAUUCAGUGAUACUGGAGCAUAAGCUUUCAUGGGUGAAUACUCACUUCGUCAGAUGAUGAAGUGGGCAUUCACCUACAAAAGCUUAUGCUGCAAUCCGUCUGUUAGUCUAUAAGGUGCCACAGGACUCUCUGUCACUUUUUACAGAUCCAGACUAACUCGGCUACCCCCUGAUACUUCAUUCAGUGAAAUCCUUUACAGAACCAAAGAAUCCCUUAGCAGUGCAUCUGGCUGCAUAAAGUCUCACAGCAGUUCACCAAUUUGUCUUAUCUGCUGCUGGGAUUCCCUGAAUUACUUUUAUCACUUCGUCAUUUAGCUUUGCUAUUGUGCAGAUGCAGGUCAUUGUGCUAUUUAAUUUAUAUUUUACCAACAAGUCCUCCUUGAAAAUAUGCAGCAGUAAGUACUUGCUAGUUUUAGCAGCGACAUCUGUGUUUCUGGUAUUGCACUUGCUCUGGUUUUUUACUGUGAUUUCUCAUUUGAAAUUUUUAAUUCUAACUUUCUCUUCUUAUUUUUAGAGCAGAAGGUUAUUCUGCUGGAUCAGCUGACUUCCAGCCUGACUGAAUUUCUGGGCUGGUCUCAAAAAAUGUUUUUAAUCAAUGGCGAUUGCGUUUUGCAACUGCUGUUUUGCCUCUCAAUCCAGCCCUUUGUUUUUUUCCGUAUGUCAUUGCUUGUGUGUAGAAUUUGAUUCGCAAAUAUUCAGUAAAGACGGUAUACCCUCUCAUGUAA